rnacentral:lncRNA from 1 species
UCCACGUCCGGUGCGCCUUGCGUCAGUGUGAACGUCUGGCUAUUUAAAGGGUGCACGUUGGCUCCUCUGUCAACUGCAGGCUCUGCCUUUCCAAGACAUCACAACCUUCACCAGACUUUAUCACCGAGGAACACCACUGACGAGACAGCAUGGUUCAUGGUAACGGGCUAGCUUUCCUGAAGAUUAAAGAAGGGCAAUUUGUGACUCUCCAGAAGUUCAAAACUGGACUGAAGCUGUGUGCUGUGGAUAUCCAAGAGAAUGCACUGUCGGUGCGCAUAUGGAGGCGGGAAAUAAACCAGAAAAAACAAAUGGCUUUCAGUUUCAAUCCUGGAGAUGGUGACUAUAUUCCGAAGGUGGUUGGAAAAGACCUGCAGUUUGAGAAGAUUCACAGUUUUACUUCCAGAACUAAUAUCAAUGAACAUCAUUGGUUUGAGAAGAUAAACCUUCAGAGCGGUGAACAUUACGGCCUGCGAUCUGUGUUCCUCCCCACUCAUUACCUCAGUAAAUCUUUGGAUGGCAAUAAAAAAUUUGCCGUUUUCUCCCUCCGUGCAAGCAGUCAGGACUGUGCAGAGCUCACAGACGAAUGUGUAGAGACACCCGCCACCAGUUGAACUUCACCUUCUACAACACUACACAAGACUUCCCUGCUGGGGGAGAUGGGGCCGACAGUGGAGUUACUUAGAUAGUUUGUCAUUCUUGGGUGGCUAUGUGUCUUCUUGUUAAACUGAAUUAACGGGGUACUCUUGCAAUUAACUUCCAUACAGUUGGGGGACUUGGAAAAGUCAGAUUAAAAAGGAAUGGUCAAAAUGUAGGUAGCAGUGGCAGAGAUAUCCUGCAUUUUAAUCCAUAGUAUGGGCAAGCUCCAAAAGCACUGCAUCCCAGUCUUCCUUUACUUUAAUGAACUUUUCCUGCUGGUAAAUUCCACUUUGUAACUUUCUGUUAAAAAGUCUCCCAGCCCAAGCUUUAGAUCCCUAGGUGUAAUUUCUCACACUAACAGGCUUACAACUAAUGUGACUUACCUUUUUAAUGUGACAAUGUUCCUCAAAUAGUAUUUAAGUAGCGAAGGAGGUAUCGACUACUGUAUGCCUGUGAAGGCGAUUGAUAAUUGUUGUCUUUUGGUCAUCUGGAGCUUCACACCAAUUUCUUCUGAAACAGACAGAAGUUCUUUAAAACAUUCAUGAUCCAGUGCACUGAUUGGCUGGCACUGAUACUGAAACUGCUUGAUCAACUCUUUUCAAUUUUACAACAUGACAUGGUUAAAUAUGAUUCAUGUUUUAGCAGCAGCACUUAUGCAGUUUCAUGACAUCUAAAAGCUAGUUAAACAGUUGAAGCCACUUUCGGUUUUACCAGCGUUUAGAAAACUCCUGCAGCUGCUAAAUUCACCCAUCAUGCACGUAAACGUUUGCCGCAUGCCUUUUCAUGUCCUGUCUUGCUGGUGUUGGAAAGGAACAGCUUUAUAUUUAUAUCUAUCUAUAUAUGUAUGUAUGUAUGUAUGUAUGUAUAUUUUUAUAAUAUUUAUACUAAAAGUGUAACUGUAAAUGUAAACGUAUCUUUUAUUAAACGGUUGUAUAUCAUGAAGGGUGUCCUUGUGUCUUUGAAAGAGUAAAUCAUUUCUUAAGUAGACUGACUCAACGGAUGUAGGUUGUGGGAAUAAGUCUUUCAUUAACGGAGCAUUCUCUUCCCCUUCAGCUAUCAGGGUGUUGCAUCCUGAGCUUAGUGCACUCAGAACACUCUUAGUUUCCAAAGACAAGUAGGAUUGGUUUGAAAAAAAAAACGACCUGGAAAGUUUCCCCCCUUUAGAACAAUGCUAAUAGUGGAAACAGUGCUUUUACCUAAAAGAAAACCCACUAAUACCACAAUAAAAUGUACUCCCACUACUACUAAAAGUCCUUCAUUUAAAACCUUACUUGGUAAGAAUAAUGUAUGAAAAGUACAAGUGCUCAUUGUGCAGUGAAAUGGUCCCUGUCUGUGUUUUAUUUUCUGGAUUAAUAUUACUGCUGCAUUAAUGUUGUAUUUUCCUGCUGUAGAUGUGGUUGUGCUCAUUUUAACUCCUUUAUAUUCUGUUGGGUAGUUUAAUCUACAGCAACACAUCAUGUUCUAUAAGAUCAUCAUGGUUGUAGCGUCGCUGUCCUGUGAUAACCACGUAUCUAUAAAAGGUUUUCAUGAGUUUCUCAGAAAAACUGCCUGUUUUCAGCUUU